GGGGUGACAGAGUGAGAGAAGGGGUGACUAGUGGCAGAGUGAGGGAAGGAAGGGGUGACAGAGUGAGGAAGGGGGCGACACGUGACAGAGUGAAGGAGGUGGUGACUGUCAAUAGUCACCCCAUCCCUCCCUCUGUCACUAAUCACCACCUCCCUCACUCUGUCACUAGUCACCCCUUCCCUCCCUCACUCUGUCACUAGUCACCCCCUCCCUCUCUCUGUCACUAGUCACACCC